rnacentral:rRNA from 1 species
GCUGGCGGCGUGCCUAAUACAUGCAAGUCGAACGAGAGCGACCGGUGCUUGCACUGGUCAAUCUAGUGGCGAACGGGUGAGUAACACGUGGGUAACCUGCCCAUCAGAGGGGGAUAACAUCCGGAAACGGAUGCUAAAACCGCAUAGGUCUUCGAGCCGCAUGGCUUGAAGAGGAAAAGAGGCGCAAGCUUCUGCUGAUGGAUGGACCCGCGGUGCAUUAGCUAGUUGGUGAGGUAACGGCUCACCAAGGCCGUGAUGCAUAGCCGACCUGAGAGGGUGAUCGGCCACAUUGGGACUGAGACACGGCCCAAACUCCUACGGGAGGCAGCAGUAGGGAAUCUUCCGCAAUGGACGCAAGUCUGACGGAGCAACGCCGCGUGAGUGAAGAAGGUUUUCGGAUCGUAAAACUCUGUUGUUAGAGAAGAACAAGUGCUAGAGUAACUGUUAGCGCCUUGACGGUAUCUAACCAGAAAGCCACGGCUAACUACGUGCCAGCAGCCGCGGUAAUA